rfam:Beta vulgaris subsp. vulgaris contig105865.1, whole genome shotgun sequence.
UCCGAUAUAGUACAGGGGUCAGUAUACCAGUCUUUCACAUUGGAGACCGGGGUUCGAGUCCCCGUAUCGGAA